AACGCUGGCGGCAUGCCUUACACAUGCAAGUCGAACGGCAGCACGGGAGCAAUCCUGGUGGCGAGUGGCGAACGGGUGAGUAAUAUAUCGGAACGUGCCCAGUCGUGGGGGAUAACGUAGCGAAAGCUACGCUAAUACCGCAUACGAUCUAUGGAUGAAAGCGGGGGGAUCGCAAGACCUCGCGCGAUUGGAGCGGCCGAUAUCAGAUUAGGUAGUUGGUGAGGUAAAGGCUCACCAAGCCGACGAUCUGUAGCUGGUCUGAGAGGACGACCAGCCACACUGGGACUGAGACACGGACCAGACUCCUACGGGAGGCAGCAGUGAGGAAUAUUGGACAAUGGGCGCAAGCCUGAUCCAGCCAUGCCGCGUGCAGGAUGACGGUCCUAUGGAUUGUAAACUGCUUUUAUACAGGAAGAAACACUACUUCGUGAAGUAGCUUGACGGUACUGUAAGAAUAAGGACCGGCUAACUACGUG
rnacentral:rRNA from 1 species